GACGAACCGUGCGAACGUUGUUCGGAAUCACUGGGCUUAAAGGGCGCGUAGGCGGGCUGACAAGUCUGGGGUGAAAUGCCGCGGCUCAACCGUGGAACUGCCUCAGAUACUGUCGGCCUCGAGGGAGGUAGGAGCGUGCGGAACUGUAGGUGGAGCGGUGAAAUGCGUUGAUAUCUACAGGAACUCCGGUGGCGAAAGCGGCGCGCUGGACCUCUUCUGACGCUGAGGCGCGAAAGCUAGGGGAGCAAACGGG
rnacentral:rRNA from 1 species